rnacentral:rRNA from 1 species
UGGGGAAUAUUGCACAAUGGGGGAAACCCUGAUGCAGCGACGCCGCGUGAGUGAAGAAGUAUUUCGGUAUGUAAAGCUCUAUCAGCAGGGAAGAAAAUGACGGUACCUGACUAAGAAGCCCCGGCUAACUACGUGCCAGCAGCCGCGGUAAUACGUAGGGGGCAAGCGUUAUCCGGAUUUACUGGGUGUAAAGGGAGCGUAGACGGCCAGACAAGUCAGAAGUGAAAGCCCAGGGCUCAACCCUGGGACUGCUUUUGAAACUGCCGGGCUGGAGUGCAGGAGAGGUAAGCGGAAUUCCUAGUGUAGCGGUGAAAUGCGUAGAUAUUAGGAGGAACACCAGUGGCGAAGGCGGCUUACUGGACUGUAACUGACGUUGAGGCUCGAAAGCGUGGGGAGCAAACAGG